UGGGGAAUCUUGGACAAUGGGGGCAACCCUGAUCCAGCCAUGCCGCGUGAGCGAUGAAGGCCCUAGGGUUGUAAAGCUCUUUCACCCGUGAAGAUAAUGACGGUAGCGGGAGAAGAAGCCCCGGCUAACUCCGUGCCAGCAGCCGCGGUAAUACGGAGGGGGCUAGCGUUGUUCGGAAUUACUGGGCGUAAAGCGCGCGUAGGCGGAUGUUCAAGUCGGGGGUGAAAUCCCGGGGCUCAACCCCGGAACUGCCUCCGAUACUGGAUGUCUGGAGGACGGGAGAGGCGAGUGGAAUGCCGAGUGUAGAGGUGAAAUUCGUAGAUAUUCGGCGGAACACCCGUGGCGAAGGCGGCUCGCUGGUCCGUUUCUGACGCUGAGGCGCGAAAGCGUGGGGAGCAAACAGGAUUAGAUACC
rnacentral:rRNA from 1 species